rnacentral:lncRNA from 1 species
CUCGGCCUGCCAGACACUUGUGCACAGGGAUCACGCAUCUUACGGCUUGACGAUCAAGGGGGGAAAGCCUGGGUCUUCAUAGAAAAGGAGAAGAGACAAACGCAGCCCAAACUGGGGGGUUUCUCUUCAAAGCCAGCUGGUCUGGCUUUAUUCUACAGGAAUUUUUUUACCUGUCAGGGUUUGGACAACAAAGCCCUCAGCAGGUGCUGAAGGGUACAACUUCCUGGAGAAGCAGAAAGGCACUGAGAUCACAAGUAGGUGGAGAGGCAGGCAGAGAGAGAGAGAGGAGGAAGAAGGCUCCCCGCCGAACAGAGAGCCUGAUCGGGGGCUGGAUCCCAGAACCCUGGGAUCAUGACCUGAGCCGAAGGCAGAGGCUUUAACCCACUGAGCCACCCAGGCGCCCCUACUGAGCAUUUUCGACAUGCCAGGCACCAGGUGACUAUAGAAGUACAAUCUUACGUCUUCCUCUCAGGAAAACUGUCAUCCUAUAGAGGUCCUGAAA